GGGAAGACUUCACUGAAAAGAGUUCAGAUGACAUAGAGUAGGUGGGAAGACGCACUCUGCCAUAACACAUGCAGAGGCAGGGCAGCACUGAGAAGCAGUACAAGGUCCCAGCCACUGAACAUUCCCAAAGAGUAGACAGAUACAAAGACAGAAUGGAAGCCAUCUCAUAAGCUAGAGCAUAGAGAGCCAUUGUAUUCUAAACAAAAAAAUGGGACAACCAUUAUGUAAGAUUUUAGCAUCUUUCCCAAUAGUUCAAAAGAUGAAUGCAUGUAAUACAGAAAGAGUCCAAUUAUGAUUAUAAAAAAUAGACUAAUAAAAAAUGGACUAAAGAACGCUAUUAAGGAAGGUGAAAUCAGUAUGACUUGGUGACGAGAGAGAAAAAGGGAUGAGAUAAAAAUGUCUUAAGGAUGAUCACCAAGUCAAAGAUUUUAGUACCUGGUGGCCAAAGAUUCAUUUAUAAAAAUAGGAAAGAAGGGAACAGAUAAAGAACACAGCUGGGAACACAAGUUUGACAUGUAUAUAUGAUACAUACAUAUGUAUAUACAUGUUUGUAUAUAUAAAUAUAUACUAAUAGAAGCUGACUGUCUACUUGUACACUCAGAAAACCUGAAAUUAGUGACUUAAGGUCUCACGAUUAUAUGAGAAUUUGAAGCAGCUGAAAUAAAUAGACAAACUUACAGAAGAAAUGGAGGGGGGGGGGGUUGAAAGGCACAAAGCAGAGAUGUCUUCCAUGGGAUUAAUGAGCGACAGACAGAAGGAAAUAAGUAAUAGUUUAGAAAAGAGCUCCUAUGGGAUGAUUCCUAUCGCAAUUGUGGUAACUUAAUGCCAUGCUAUGUCCACUCUUUUGGCACCUGCUGCAAUUCUAAUCCUUCCUACAGCAAAAGUAAAGCACUGAAGAAAAGGUUCACAUCUUUCUCAUUUUCUAAAACCAUCCAUUCAUUGAAAUUUUCACUUCCAGUGUAUCAGAAGAGGUGUUUGGGCUGAGAUGAAGGUUAUGUUGAUGGAAUCCUCAACAAUGGAAUUGGCACCCUUAUUGAAGAGAUCAAUGAAACUCACUGUUGAACAUAUAUUUAUAAACAUGCAGGGGCCCUAAGUUCAAACCCUAAAAUAAGUCAGAAGGAGAGAGGGAUGGGCCCCACUAAGAGAGCUCUUUCUUUUUCCUACAUGAGUACACAAGGAAGAGUUGACUUCUGCCACCCAGAAAAGGAACCUCAGCAAAUAAAACUGACCAUGCUCAUGGUUUGACCUCAAGACUUCUAGCCAUGAGAGAACUGCGAAGAAUGAAUUUCUGGCAGGAAGGAAGGAAGGGGGGAGGAGAGGAAUGGAGAGGAAGUAGCAGCAGUAUAGGAAGGAUAUGGGGCAAAGAGUAGGAAAUCAGAGGGAUAAACAGUCCACCAUACCAUGUCAAGUGCAAAAGUGAAAUAAGACAACUCAGGAAACCACUGAAGUUAGAGUUGGGGCAUCCUGGUCAAAUAUGAGCUUCA